rnacentral:sRNA from 1 species
GUUCAUUGAUCUGAGCAAGUGAUGCCAGUGUAGUAGAGAUACGAUGUAGGGAUGGUAUGCAGAGAACAGACUCACACCAAAACUACCAACCUCUUCUCUCUCUUCCUUUCCUAGAAGAGUCUCCCCCAACCCAGUUCCCCUACCCAGUCUCCUUGGCCCUUCCUUCAACUGAUUUAUGCCAAAUAAGUAUCAAUAUUUCUUUCAAUUCAAGCUCUGUUUUCUCAAGAAUUCUUAUUCUUGAAAAGAUAGAUCCUUUCUCUGGUCUUAUGCACGCAUCUGCUACUUCUGUUGUAGUGCUUAUUAAAUGUAUUGUACAAAGAGGGGAUACAACGCAAAUGACCAUCAAUGGGUAAAUAAGCUUGUUCUCUCUUUCUCUCUCUC